GACGAACGCUGGCGGCGUGCUUAACACAUGCAAGUCGAACGGAAAGGCCCUGCUUUUGUGGGGUGCUCGAGUGGCGAACGGGUGAGUAACACGUGAGUAACCUGCCCUUGACUUUGGGAUAACUUCAGGAAACUGGGGCUAAUACCGUAUAGGAGCUCCUGCUGCAUGGUGGGGGUGGGAAAUUUUCGGCGGUUGGGGAUGGACGCGCGGCUUAUCAGCUUGUUGGUGGGGUAGUGGCUUACCAAGGCUUUGACGGGUAGCCGGCCUGAGAGGGUGACCGGCCACAUUGGGACUGAGAUACGGCCCAGACUCCUACGGGAGGCAGCAGUGGGGAAUAUUGCACAAUGGGCGGAAGCCUGAUGCAGCAACGCCGCGUGCGGGAUGACGGCCUUCGGGUUGUAAACCGCUUUCGCCUGUGACGAAGCGUGAGUGACGGUAAUGGGUAAAGAAGCACCGGCUAACUACGUG
rnacentral:rRNA from 1 species